AUUGAACGCUGGCGGCAGGCCUAACACAUGCAAGUCGAACGAGUGGCGGACGGGUGAGUAAUGUCUGGGAAACUGCCCGAUGGAGGGGGCAAACUACUGGAAACGGUAGCUAAUACCGCAUACCAUCGGAUGGGGCCUGAUGGGAUUAGGGAGUAGGUGGGGUAAAGGCUCACCUAGGCGACGAUCCCUAGCUGGUCUGAGAGGAUGACCAGCCACACUGGGACUGAGACACGGCCCAGACUCCUACGGGAGGCAGCAGGGGGGAAUAUUGCACAAUGGGCGCAAGCCUGAUGCAGCCAUGCCGCGUGUAUGAAGAAGGCCUUCGGGUUGUAAAGUACUUUCAGCGGGGAGGCGUUACCUGCAGAAGAAGCACCGGCUAACUCCGUGCCAGCAGCCGCGGUAAUAC
rnacentral:rRNA from 1 species